UUGUCCGGAAACCCAGAUAGUUUUAAAAAACCCUUUUUUCACAUGGGUUAUACCAAAAGGUCCGAAAUUAGGGAAUUAGGGUUUGACUGUGUAAGCAAACAACCUCCCCCUCAUUCUCUCUCCCUCCUCCCUCCUCCUUCGUUAUCUCUCCUCAAUUUUGGAUCUCAACUCUACGACCAUUCGACCACCAGUCCACCACCACCUCCGAGUCUCCCAACACAUUUCCACCGAGCAUCUCCUACACACCACGACCAACAAAUCCUCUCUAAAAAUGACACCUUCUAGAUAAAGAGCUCUCAAUCCAAAAUGCCGUGUUUGCCGGGACCAUAAGGUCGUGUUUGUGGACUCAGUUGGUGUGAUUUAAUGGAAAGCAGAGGAAAAAAGAAUGUGUAUCAUUUGGACAAACUGUUCUUUUGUUUGGACAUGUCAAGUUCAUUUUUUGGGAUUUUAAGAUUGUAAUUGUUGUUUGUGGAACCAUUGUGUUCUUAAUUGAUGUAAUAGUAUAAUUAGUAUUUAUAAUA